CCUCCGCCCGCCGGAAUCGGAGAGAACUCUAUAUUGGUUUAGAGGUUGAAGCAACUUAACAAUGAGCAGCAUCGGAACUGGGUAUGACCUGUCCGUCACCACUUUCUCCCCGGAUGGCCGUGUCUUCCAGGUCGAGUAUGCUGGCAAGGCCGUCGACAACAGCGGGACGAUCGUUGGCAUCAAAUGCAAAGAUGGAAUCGUCCUUGGUGUGGAGAAGCUGAUAACAUCUAAGAUGAUACUUGCUGGGUCGAAUCGGAGACUUCACUCCAUGCACCACAACUCUGGCUUGC